CAUCCACUUCCGGCGAGAUUAAGCCCAGAGGUCCGACACAUCCACUUCUAGCUGUUCCUCUCGUAGUGCUUGGCCGAGAGAGAAGUCCUCCGAAGUCCGAAGUCCGAAGUCCGAAGUCCGAAGUACUAGCUUCAAACCGAUCAUGGCAUUUGCCAAAGAUUUAAAUUCAAAGUUCAAACCGCCUUUCCAUUUGCUGAAGAUUUGAAAAGCACACUGUUCAUCUUACGACGGCCAGUUCGCUCACUCUCUCCACUAGCGAGAUCGGACAGCGUUCAAGGGAGGAAGCAAAGCGUGGGGCGAGAGAGAGAGAGGCAGAGGCAGAGGCAGAGGCGAGGGCGAGAGAGAGACAACGCAUCUACCAAGCAGCGGUAACGUGAUGAACCCACCGCGAGCCAUCCCCUUUCUCUCCGGCGACGAAAACGGAUAAUAAGGUUGGCCAAUCAUUUAUUCCAUACAUGAUUGCAAAGUAGCCAAGACUACCAAAUUCGGAGAUUGCACAGAACGCAACCAAUCGACUCGUGGCAAGCCUAUCUACAACUAACUUGGUAACGAUCAUUUGGGCCGAAACCAUCAAAUCGAUCCAACACUGAAUCCAACUUAUGCUCAGCAAUUUCAACAGAUGUGCCCAAGAAAUGUAGACCCAAGAGUUGCCAUGAACAUGGAUCCUACGACUCCUAGAACUUUUGACAAUGCCUACUUCAAGAACCUCCAGAGAGGGAUGGGGUUGUUUACCUCUGAUCAAGUAUUGUUUACAGAUUCAAGAUCAAGGAACGUUAUCAAUUUCUUUGCAUCAAACAACACAGCUUUCCAAGAGUUCUUUGUUACUGUCAUCACCAACCUCGGAAGGGUUGGUGUUAAGACCGGAAGUUUAACACAGUGAAAAUCGCCGUGAUUGCAGUGCUGUGAAUUAGAGGAGAGGUUGUUAACACAUGAUGAGCUACUGUAGAUUUUAACUCUUCUAUUAUCUCGUCAUUUUCUUCAACGAGUUCAUUGAUCUGCAUUUCUCCAGUAGAGCGAGAACGGGG